GCCAGACUCCUACGGGAGGCAGCAGUGGGGGAUAUUGCACAAUGGGGGGAACCCUGAUGCAGCGACGCCGCGUGGGUGAAGGAGCGUUUCGGCGCGUAAAGCCCUAUCGGCAGGGAAGAAGGAGGACGGUACCUGACUAAGAAGCCCCGGCUAACUACGUGCCAGCAGCCGCGGUAAUACGUAGGGGGCAAGCGUUAUCCGGAUUUACUGGGUGUAAAGGGGGCGCAGACGGCAGCGCAAGCCAGGAGUGAAAGCCCGGGGCCCAACCCCGGGACUGCUCUUGGAACUGCGCGGCUGGAGUGCAGGAGGGGCAGGCGGAAUUCCUGGUGUAGCGGUGAAAUGCGUAGAUAUCAGGAGGAACACCGGUGGCGAAGGCGGCCUGCUGGACUGCGACUGACGUUGAGGCCCGAAAGCGUGGGGAGCAAACAGGAUUAGAUACCCUCGUAUC
rnacentral:rRNA from 1 species